UCUUUUGUUGUUUUUUUUUGUCAUUGCAGGCUUCAACCUGUAAAACCCCUGAAUCCUUUGGAACAGCAGUCUGUUUCAAUCUUUCAAGGAGAAAAAGAUAAAAAAUCUUCAGGAAUCUUUUGUGAAGAUCAGGAUAAGACUAAGGUAAAUGUCACUGGGCUGAAAGGGCCCUACUCCGAGCUGACUCGUGAGGAGCUCAUCUCUCUGGUGCUCAAACAAGAAAACCAGCUGUCAGACAGAAACAAAAAGAUAUCUGAUCUGGAGCAGUACAUCGACAACUUGCUUGUGCGCAUCAUAGAAGAGAAACCAAGUAUUCUCAUGUCCCUGAACUCUCUGAAGAAACCUGUCUAGGUAGAUUCACAUCUGACACUUUAUCCCCACUGUAUGUAAUGUACAUUUGCAAUCAAAGAUGUUAAUAAAUACAAAAAUAUUCCACAUUUUUCUAAA